rnacentral:rRNA from 1 species
UACGUAGGGCGCGAGCGUUGUCCGGAAUUAUUGGGCGUAAAGAGCUUGUAGGCGGUUUGUCGCGUCUGCUGUGAAAGGCCGGGGCUUAACCCCGUGUAUUGCAGUGGGUACGGGCAGACUAGAGUGCAGUAGGGGAGACUGGAACUCCUGGUGUAGCGGUGGAAUGCGCAGAUAUCAGGAAGAACACCGAUGGCGAAGGCAGGUCUCUGGGCUGUAACUGACGCUGAGAAGCGAAAGCAUGGGGAGCGAACAGGAUUAGAAACCCCGGUAGUCC